UACAGAGGGGGCAAGCGUUGUUCGGAAUUACUGGGCGUAAAGGGCGCGUAGGCGGCCUGCUAAGUCGAACGUGAAAUCCCUGGGCUCAACCCAGGAACUGCGUCCGAUACUGGUUGGCUUGAAUCCGGGAGAGGGAUGUGGAAUUCCAAGUGUAGCGGUGAAAUGCGUAGAUAUCUGGAGGAACACCGGUGGCGAAGGCGACAUCCUGGACCGGCAUUGACGCUGAGGCGCGAAAGCCAGGGGAGCAAACGGG
rnacentral:rRNA from 1 species